UGGGGUAUCGUAUAAUGGUAGUACAGCGGUUUCUGGUACCGUAUGUGUGGGUUCGACUCCUGCUACCCCAGCCA
rnacentral:tRNA from 2 species